rnacentral:rRNA from 1 species
AAAUUGAAGAGUUUGAUCAUGGCUCAGAUUGAACGCUGGCGGCAGGCCUAACACAUGCAAGUCGAACGGUAACAGGAAGCAGCUUGCUGCUUUGCUGACGAGUGGCGGACGGGUGAGUAAUGUCUGGGAAACUGCCUGAUGGAGGGGGAUAACUACUGGAAACGGUGGCUAAUACCGCAUAACGUCGCAAGACCAAAGAGGGGGACCUUAGGGCCUCUUGCCAUCAGAUGUGCCCAGAUGGGAUUAGCUAGUUGGUGAGGUAACGGCUCACCAAGGCGACGAUCCCUAGCUGGUCUGAGAGGAUGACCAGCCACACUGGAACUGAGACACGGUCCAGACUCCUACGGGAGGCAGCAGUGGGGAAUAUUGCACAAUGGGCGCAAGCCUGAUGCAGCCAUGCCGCGUGUAUGAAGAAGGCCUU